UACGUAGGGGGCGAGCGUUGUCCGGAUUUAUUGGGCGUAAAGAGCUCGUAGGCGGCUCGGUAAGUCAGGUGUGAAAACUCUAGGCUCAACCUAGAGACGCCACCUGAUACUGCCGUGGCUAGAGUCCGGUAGGGGAGCAUGGAAUUCCUGGUGUAGCGGUGAAAUGCGCAGAUAUCAGGAGGAACACCAGUGGCGAAGGCGGUGCUCUGGGCCGGAACUGACGCUGAGGAGCGAAAGCGUGGGGAGCAAACAGG
rnacentral:rRNA from 1 species